UUGAACUCAUAAUGCCUCGUUUUGCCUUCUGAAUACUGGGGAACAAUGGACAAAGAUAUCAACGUAAUGAAGAAUCCGAUAGAAAACAGCAUUCCAAGUGCAGAUGAACCCAUUUUUUGUCGCUCUUAAUUCGUUCACUUGAUGUAUUGUCCAUUGACAUUUUAUAGCGAGAGUUUGGUUGAUUAGGUGAUGAAUGUGAU
rnacentral:lncRNA from 1 species